rnacentral:rRNA from 1 species
GAUGAACGCUAGCGGCAGGCUUAAUACAUGCAAGUCGAGGGGCAGCAAGGGUAGCAAUACCUGUUGGCGACCGGCAAACGGGUGCGGAACACGUACAGAACCUUCCUUUAAGCGGGGGAGUAGCCCGGACGAAAUACCGGAUUAAUACCCACUAGUAAUGUUUAAUGGCAUCAUUAGAUAUUUAAAGUAUUUAUCACUUAGAGAUGGCUGUGCGGC